rnacentral:rRNA from 1 species
AUUGAACGCUGGCGGCAUGCUUUACACAUGCAAGUCGAACGGUAACAGGCCUUCGGGUGCUGACGAGUGGCGAACGGGUGAGUAAUGCAUCGGAACGUACCCAGAGGUGGGGGAUAACGCAGCGAAAGCUGUACUAAUACCGCAUGUGAUCUGAGGAUGAAAGCGGGGGACCGAGCAGCAAUGCUUGGCCUCGCGCCUUUGGAGCGGCCGAUGUCGGAUUAGCUAGUUGGUGGGGUAAAGGCCUACCAAGGCGACGAUCCGUAGCUGGUCUGAGAGGACGACCAGCCACACUGGGACUGAGACACGGCCCAGACUCCUACGGGAGGCAGCAGUGGGGAAUUUUGGACAAUGGGCGCAAGCCUGAUCCAGCAAUGCCGCGUGCGGGAAGAAGGCCUUCGGGUUGUAAACCGCUUUUGGCAGGAACGAAACGGUGUCCGCUAAUACCGGGCGCUAAUGACGGUACCUGCAGAAUAAGCACCGGCUAACUACGUG